rnacentral:rRNA from 1 species
GCGAGGGUAAGCGAAUCCCAAAAAUAAACGUCCCAGUUCGGAUUGCAGUCUGCAACUCGAGUGCAUGAAGCUGGAAUCGCUAGUAAUCGCGAAUCAGAAUGUCGCGGUGAAUACGUUUCCGGGUCUUGUACACACCGCCCGUCACACCAUGGGAGUCGGAAAUGCCCGAAGUCAGUGACCUAACCGAAAGGGAGGAGCUGCCGAAGGUGGAGCCGGUAACUGGGGUGAAGUCGUAACAAGGUAAC